UAGCUCAGUUGGUAGAGCAUGGUGUUUGCAACGCCAGGGUUGUGGGUUCGAUACCCAC
rfam:Salmo salar isolate Sally breed double haploid chromosome ssa02, whole genome shotgun sequence.